CUUCGACUCACCCACAUGCUUCUCCAUCGACUCUCAACUUGUCUCGCAUUGCUCGUCCUAGCAGGCGGUGACACUCUGCGUUUGUAUGAGGAGACCGCAUUGGACGGCGGAUGGACCGUCUACCCAAUCAACUCCGUCAUAGUCGAGAACACAACGAUCGCACUGCGCUGCGAGCGCAACGACGUGUUCGUGCCCACUUAUGACAUGAAGGGCUUCCACGAGACGAAUUUUGCAGUCGCCAUCGACAAAUUCGAGGACGAAAAGGCGACGGAUAUUUUGAAGAUUGGAAAAUUUGGAAGGAAGUAUGAAGGCGAGUGGAAUUGUUUUACGAUGGGGAGAGAUGAUGAGGGACGACAGGUAUCACUGCGUGGCCCCACUCGCUUGUUGGAGCUUGCUGGUGUUGGUAAACUGAGAUAUUAUUUGAUGGAAGCAGGAAGUUUAGAUGGACAUAAAAUUGUUUGAAGCUUUUGACUUGCAAAGCAUUACAAUGGUUGGAAGAAAUGCCUUAUGGAAGAAGGGAAAAACAUUGAAGUAGAAAAUUUCUCUUUGAAGCUGUUGACAUUGAUCCAGUUUUCUCAAUGAAAAUGAAUCCUACAAAUCUGCACAUUGAUUUCAUGGUCAAAAUGUCUCUUUAAUACUGCUGACUACAUACGUGCUCAACGUGCUCCAGUUGAAGCUCCUUGAAUCCUCAAUAGUAACAAGCAGCCUAGCAACAGCAGACAGAGAUCAGAAGUUACCCAUCUACUAACGAGACUGAGUGCUGUUCAACGGCAACAAUCUGAAGAGACGAUUAUUCCUGAUGGGAAAGAAUGAGCUGAAAAGACAUGCAGAUGCAUCUCACAACAGUGAAUGGCUCAAAUUAGCAGCCAAAUCACUAACUGGUGAAGCUGUUGAAUUGAAAGCAAAAUCGUCUGACACUGUUACCACCGUGAAGCGUCAAUUGCAAACCAAGGAUGACCCUUCAUCAUGGGAUCUACUACUGAUCAUUUGAAAUAAGAAGCAACUACACAAUGAGCAAACAUUGGCUGAUGCAGGAGCAAUUGAUAGAACAAUACCGAGUAUCAGUUUUUGUCCUUGUCAGUUGACCUUCUAUUCAAUACAUUAUAGUGUAGAAAUUGUAAUGAUGGUAAGGUUGUAGGUGGUGUGACAGACAUGGGAGUAAAUGUAGGUGAAUUAUUUGUUCAAGCAUUAUCACUAGCCCAGAGCAGUCGAAGUAAGUCAAGUCAAGAUUGUCAUUGUUGGCAGAAACAGAACAGACAAAACGUCUCUUGAACGACCCUUGCUCAAACAGAAGUUUUUCUUUUUUAGACAAAAUGUUUAGACAAACACAUAACUAGAGCAGUCAUUCGUGCACUGCAUGAUCUAAUGCAAAGGGUUCAGGUAGUGACAGUGAGAGUCAACUUGAGCUAGAGUUGACAUUUAAUAGAGAAUCUACAUCGGCUGAUACUAGAGAAAGCAGCGUGGACAGAGACAAACUUGCAUGAUGAAGUGACAGUUCUAACCGAAGGGAUUGCUCGUGCUAUUCAAGGUUUUCGAAGUGAUCCUGAUCUUCUAAAGCAGGAAGAUUUGAUAGUUCAUGGUACCAUUUUGGAUUUGGGAAGACAGAAGCUACUUCUGUCUGGUCAAUCUUAGUUUCUAGGCAGGGGUGUAGUGUGACUUCUAAAAAUGGGGGCUAAACUUCACAAUGCUACAGGGACAUUCUCACUUUUAUGGACAUGCCCAUUUUUAUUGGCUUGUAAUGGUUGAUACAAUAGAAUCAGUGGCAGAUCCAGACUGGAAAAAAGGACGAUCUAUAUACUAUAUAUAGCUUUGCUCCUCACACGUAUUUACAGUCCACAAUUUUUAUGACCACAUCUACAAAUGAUGGGCUAUAGCCCGGUCUAGCCCAUGCCACGCUACGCCCCUGUUCUCGGUGACACUGCUAAGUCAUUCUACGUUCCUUCUGCCGACUCGGAACAAAUUCCAAUGGACAACCACUGAUAGAGACAAACUAUGAUAAUGUGUCUAUGGGCAUCCAUGACUUUUUGGCAGGAGAUGAACAUAAUCUUGAAGACCUUUACUCUGGUGAUGAUUACAUCGGCAUGUCAAAGGAAUGUGCAUCACCAAUUGCUGAUUGGUACACCUGUCAAUGAUGCUGACAAAGAAAUGAUUAAGCAACAGAAUCAAUUUCUGUUUAAAAAGUUUUGCAAUAAAGCAUUUCAGAAGGACAUCUUGCAACCAUCUGACCAGCAUGAUGAUUGCAAUUGGUUCUUUUGUGGUGAGAAUUCAGUGUCUGAUCCUGACAGUCCAAAUUAGGAUGCAGGUAUGAGUGCAGUGAAGCAACUUAUUGAAGAGAUGGAACUAAUUUAUCAUGCAAGAAAUAUAUUAUUGUCACCAUUGACACACAACGGCCACUUCAUGAAAUUGCAUCUCUGUGUAUACAGACAUGGUCACAUUCGUCUGUUCAUUGUUAAAAACUUCAUGAAGUAAAGACACCAGGGUUGCCUCAUUUUCAGUUUUGAUUGAAUAUUCCUGUGGAUAUCAACAGGUUGGUAUGAACACAAGCCAUUAAGAAGACAUAAGCUCAACGUACAACUGUCUGUUGAUGAGAAAGCUGCACUCUUGCUUUUACGAUCAUACAUAUGAUGUAGCAAGAACACAACAACAAUCACUGACAUUAAGAACAUGUACAGAGCAAAUGUACAUAAGAUGAUGUCAUGGAUGUUACUGAAAAACUGUCUCACUGGUGGCAGAAGCUUGUCUUGAAAUUAAAUUUACAUUAGCAAGACAAAGAGUUUAGAAUAAGAAAACAAAGAUGAUUGCUUCAUGCAAGCUGUAACAGCAUGGAAUAGGUGGACUAAUGUAUUUGGUGACGAAGCAAAUCGGGAAACAAUGAUCAAGGUAAUGUGUAACAUUGGUGCAGAUCUCAAGCUGAAGACGUUUUGAUCUUGACUUACUAAAGCAUGUUUGCCCACUUAAAUUACUCAAAUUUGAUUAGAUUAUUGCAUCACAAUGUAGUAUUUUAGUUUGCUGUGUUUUAUUUCGUAUUUAUUAAAAUGUGUAUUUUUAGUUUA